UUGAACGCUGGCGGCAUGCUUUACACAUGCAAGUCGAACGGCAGCGGGGGCUUCGGCCCGCCGGCGAGUGGCGAACGGGUGAGUAAUGCAUCGGAACGUACCCAGUCAUGGGGGAUAACUACGCGAAAGCGUAGCUAAUACCGCAUACGCCCUGAGGGGGGAAAGCGGGGGAUCGCAAGACCUCGCGUGAUUGGAGCGGCCGAUGUCGGAUUAGCUAGUUGGUGGGGGUAAAGGCCUACCAAGGCGACGAUCCGUAGCGGGUCUGAGAGGAUGAUCCGCCACACUGGGACUGAGGACACGGCCCAGACUCCUACGGGAGGCAGCAGUGGGGAAUUUUGGACAAUGGGGGCAACCCUGAUCCAGCCAUGCCGCGUGAGUGAAGAAGGCCUUCGGGUUGUAAGGCUCUUUCAGACGGAAAGAAAACGCUUCUCCUAAUACGGGAGGCGGAUGACGGUACUGUCAGGAAGAAGCACCGGCUAACUACGUGCCAGCAGCCGCGGUAAUACGUAGGGUGCGAGCGUUAAUCGGAAUUACUGGGCGUAAAGCGUGCGCAGGCGGUUGUGUAAGACAGGUGUGAAAUCCCCGGGCUUAACCUGGGAACCGCGCUUGUGACUGCACGGCUAGAGUACGGCAGAGGGGGGUGGAAUUCCACGUGUAGCAGUGAAAUGCGUAGAUAUAUGGAGGAACACCGAUGGCGAAGGCAGCCCCCUGGGCCGAUACUGACGCUCAUGCACGAAAGCGUGGGGAGCAAACAGGGUUAGAUACCCUGGUAGUCCACGCCCUAAACGAUGUCGACUAGUUGUUCGGAAGGGUAGCUUUCUGAGUAACGCAGCUAACGCGUGAAGUCGACCGCCUGGGGAGUACGGCCGCAAGGUUAAAACUCAAAGGAAUUGACGGGGACCCGCACAAGCGGUGGAUGAUGUGGAUUAAUUCGAUGCAACGCGAAAAACCUUACCUACCCUUGACAUGCCUGGAAUCCUUGAGAGAUCAGGGAGUGCCUUCGGGAGCCAGGACACAGGUGCUGCAUGGCUGUCGUCAGCUCGUGUCGUGAGAUGUUGGGUUAAGUCCCGCAACGAGCGCAACCCUUGUCGCUAAUUGCCAGCAUUGAGUUGGGCACUUUAGCGAGACUGCCGGUGACAAACCGGAGGAAGGUGGGGAUGACGUCAAGUCCUCAUGGCCCUUAUGGGUAGGGCUUCACACGUCAUACAAUGGUCGGUACAGAGGGUUGCCAAACCGCGAGGUGGAGCUAAUCCCUUAAAGCCGAUCGUAGUCCGGAUCGCAGUCUGCAACUCGACUGCGUGAAGUCGGAAUCGCUGGUAAUCGCAGAUCAGCAUGCUGCGGUGAAUACGUUCCCGGGUCUUGUACACACCGCCCGUCACACCAUGGGAGUGGGUUUCACCAGAAGUAGGUAGCUUAACCUUCGGGGGGGGCGCCUACCACGGUGAGAUUCAUGACUGGGGUG
rnacentral:rRNA from 1 species